GCUGAGGGAGGUGGUGGAUUCUUGACUGACACCUGAGCUUCUCGUGCUGCCAGGUGAGAGUGUUGUGUCUGGUGACCUGGGACUACUGUGGAAAGUGGUCGAUUUCUCACUGAGGCCUGGUGUUGUGGUACUGUCUGGUAAUAUUGUUGUUUCCACUGAGCCUGAACUGAUGGGUGAGGUUGUAGAUUCUCCAA